rnacentral:lncRNA from 1 species
GCUGAUUGACUGGCGAUGGAGAUGCAGCAGUGACCUGCAAUUCUUUCUGCUGUGGAUGGUUCAUUUUGAAAUCUUUUUUAUAUCUGACAAGACACAAGAAAACAACAUAUCUAUCCUGUUAUAUUUACCACUAUCAUCUACAGUGAGUGCUAAGUUGCCCAUAAAUUUUAGUUGACUUCUGUUCAGAGUGAUCUGAAAAAUAGAUAGCAUAAAAGAUUAGUGGGUAUUACAUUUAGAUUAGUUACAUUUGGGCAAAUAAAUGAGUAGAAGUCAAUUUUGUUUGCUUGAUGUUUCACUUCUUUGAUCUCUUCAUCAUUCUCAUUUUGUUUCAUUGCUUACCAUUUGUUCGAAAAAAUUUCUAGCAGUGGCAAGCAUGGUUAGGGCGAGCAACGAGGGUUCCUGUAGUGCAUAACCAUUUCAAGUCGCCCAAGUUCUAAAGAGAGAUCAGAAGUGCCAGCUACUGAAGCAAAAAAAAGGACCUGAUACACAUUGUAAUCAUGGACUGCUGAUAUACCUGAUGCAUUUCUUCAUGAUGGUCGAUUUCCUUUCACCGGAUCUUACAUGUUUAAUUAUGUGUGCUCGGAACCAAAAACUGAUUGAGAUCUUCAGUUCUUACUUGCAGAUGUUCUGUUAUUCAGAGUAAUUCAGUUUCCAGUCUCUGUUUAUUAAUCAAAUUAUGGGUUAUUUUCAACCAUAUAGGCUUUUAUUAUAUGUUCAGUUAUGCUUCCAUGGGUUUUGCAUAUGUAUUAACAAAACAACCAGACUGCUAUUCUGUAUAUACUUGGAUCAAAGGGUGUACAAUUAAUUUAAUCUUACGAAAGGAAUGAGUAGGCAGCUAGCAAAAUGGGAGGACAAUCAUGACAAGCGAAGGAACACAUAAAUAGUAAUCCCACAAUUUUUACAACUGCAUUCCACUUUAAUUUGGUAUGGACAUGCAUUUUUAUCCUUGGAGUACUUUGGAUUUUAAGUGGGAAUCAUUGGUUCUUUUCUUCUUAAUAUUUUACUUCUUAUAAUUACAAAUACCAAUUUUAGAGAAUUGAGCUCGUACUUAAAAUUCAAUUGAGUAUGAAGCCACUGCCCAUUGUGUGAAAGAAACAAUUAUAACAUUGUACUCUAACAAAUCACACAUAUAGAGAAAUGUUAUUUUCGAGUCUCCUUAACCUACUGAUCUUUUUUUAGAUAUAUGAAACUUGCAUUUGUUUUCUUAAUUCUUCUGCAAUGCAGGUGAUAUUCCUAAUGGUUGCUGCUGACGCUUAAAAAAUUACUCCUGAAGCACUAGAAGUGCCCUCUCUAUGGCGCAUCACUCACUGGAUCCAGAUGGGCAACAUUCCGCUUCAAGAUUAAAGAGUACAGUUUUUGCAUGCUAUCAUUGCUUAUCCAAGAGUAAUCUACCAUGUGCCUAAUAUAUAUACAUGAUUGUUGCACCAUCACAAGAUUUCCAUUAUAUACAUGGGCAUAACUUUCUUUACUGUGAAUUAAUCGACACGAUGCUUCUGUUUUAAGGAAUGGCAAUGCUAAAUUCUACAGUGGUACUCUCUACUCUGUCGAAUGUUUACAAACACCACAAAGCUAGAGAUCUAUUGUGGAAACCUUUCUUUCUUUUGUUUGUUAUAACUUCUUAGUGUAAAAAUAAAUAUGGCUUGUCCAUUAGGAAACAAAUAUGUAAGAUUUAUUACUUUUCAAAGUUGAAUUGUUCCUGACAAUUACACAUGAGAGUGCAUAUAAUUCAGUUGUGCUGACUUGCUGUUUCUAAAAUGAUAAGCUGGAGUUGGAGUUACAUAUGAGAGUAGAGAUAAUUUAGUUGUGCUCCUGACUUGAUUAACAAAAGCUGCAGAAGAAAGGGACAAAAUACCAAAAAGCUGAAAAUUUGAAGAAAGGUGGAAGUAGGGAACUACACAACUUGAUUCAAGGUUACGAAGGGACAAAGGGCAUUGAUUGAGCAGGAGAAAACAAUAAUGGGCCGAGGCAAGGAUAUAGUGCUCAGUUAGUAAAGAGAUAUGUGGGAAGUGGAGCAGCGGGAUGCAAAUGGAAUUUUUGUGACUCACUGAAGGUGAGCAAAACUUUAGAAAAGAAAUUGCAACAGAAGUAGAGCCUCAUCACCAAGAGAGCAUAGGGAUUUUAAGUUUUUUGUAGCCUGCACCGGAGACUGUAGAGUUAAGUUUCUACAUCUCAGUGUACAGUUUAACUAUAUCAGGUUAUUUACUAUGAAGUAAAUAUUUGCUUUUGCCAUUGUUGAUCAUGUCCUUCUCUCUGUGCUUGGAAGCAUAAACUUACUUAGCGAUCCUUUUCUGUUAGGCUAAACUUACAUCCUUCUGCUAAUAGUUUAGUGAUAUAAUGAUUAUAAUGAUUAUUCAAAAGGGACGUUGCAUGUUCCUAGAUGCAUAGCCUUUCUUAUAUAUGUUUUCAUAACACUGGAUUUUUUUAGGGAUAACGCUGGGAUUUUAGUCUUUUUGUUGAAUUCCGAAACUGAAAUCCGAAUAAACCAUAUCUUGAAAGGCCGGCAUAAUGGCACUUCAAAUAAAUGCUAAUCUACACUCACACUGCAGGAUGGUGCCCGUUCUUCUGGUGAUUUGGUCAAAGCUACUACUAAGCAAAGAUAUUUUGCAUGCUAUAAGAACAUGUAGGUUCAUAUCGGGCACCCAUACGAUCCUGCAAAGAAUUUUGACUCACUUUGAUAUAUUAGCAACAACAUCGUUUAAAAUCCAAACGAAUGGCAUACUCCCUGUUAAUUCAAAUGCAGAUACAAACUUUAAGAUUUUCUAAAUAAGAAAAUAUAUUUACAGUCCAAGUGUAGUAAUCUGGGAGUUUGAAAUCAUUUCCCCUUUUUAAAAAGCCAGGGACAUGGAAGUUAAUAUUCACAUACAUGGCAGGGAAGGAUUGAUCUCUCUGCUUAGCAAUGAAUUUGUAGCACCCGAUGAAAACAAAUAUUGUGCAGACCCUAUGGCGUCACUGUGUUAGUAGGCCGUAUUGGCGUUGCAAUCUCUUCUUGGACUAACUAAUGCAUAGGUUAUAAAGCACAUCAAACCUUUUGUAGACCAACAAAUCCAACAUGCUAUGUAGAUCUUGUGUGUACGGAUUAAUCUGAUUGAUGACUGAUGGAAAGCUUCAGGACUUGUAUUCCCCCCUCACCCCAUAUCUGUAGUUUCCUAUGAUUCACUUUCAAAUCUGGAUAUUCUCCUAUAUAUUAACUACUGCAUUGGAGGAAAUUAAAUCACUUGCAAUCUACAAUUAAAGAAUAAUUAAGUGGGACCUUGAGAAACAAUAGUUUGCCAUGGUCUGCAAUGGGGCAGAGCCAAAGAGUUUGACCAGAAUAAAAGUCUGGACAACAAAAUUCAAUGGAGAGAGAUAUCCAUUUGUUACCCACAAAUGAUUAUUUUUUUGUUAGUGCCUCUUCUUCUUUCUUGCCCAUUAUUUAGUUAUAACGUGACAAAAUAAACAUGUUGAUUAUACCCGACUUGCACUGAACAUGAAAUUUUUGUUUAUGCACAAACAUGCGAGUUGUGUAGUACUGUAAGUUGACACUGCAUCGAAACAUAACACACAAUUACAUGUGCGUGUAUAAGGAGAAACUAUACCUGCAGCACACAUCCAUCUAUCUCGGUUUAUGGGAGAACUGGCAAAUUUAUGGUAAUGAAGCAUGUAGCUGAGGUGUGAGACAAAUCUUCCGUAGAGUGUUAAUGUUGUUAGUAGUAAUUAACUUGUCUCCUAGGAGCUAACUGCAGCAACUUACCUUGACUGUUAGAUACAGUAUAGCAUUAUUCAUCUUCAUCCAUGAUUGAUUCUUCUGUUUACUGCAAUUCUUUGACAAUUCUUAGCAUCACACAACCAAAGGUGAGAAGCAAAAAUUUGAAGCACGGAACAAAAAAUUCACAAACCAAUGCAUUUAGUAACCAUCGUGGUUCUUACAGGUCCUUUGCAAUCCAAAUUCCAGUUCUAUGACUUGCAAGGAAGGAUGAAGUCCAUGUCAUGAAAAUUUUAAUAUGUGGUCGCUGCCUCCUCCAGCCAUGGAUUUCAAAGGUACGCAGAUUCACCUACAACAUGCAUAUGGGAGAACUUGCAGAUCUGAAGGAAUCAAGCAUCUAGCUAAGGUGCUUGUAGCCACGAUCAGUGCUCCAUCGAGCAAUUUCUUAGGGCUGCACAGAUGCAACAACCUGGUAGAUAGGAUCAUCCUCUAUCAAAAAUAGCCAAAGGAAAAUGUCAGCAUCAGAGAUCCCAUAUAGGCCAGGAUAAUGUCAAAAUAUCUUGGCAUGGGCACGUGGCUCAUAGCCUCAACUUGAGACCGUUUACUCCAUGCUCGUGGUGGAGGCCUAGUCUCGACGGGGGCAUGGCAGUGGCGUGCGUUAGGAUUGGAUUCCGUCGAAGACCUGGGAUUGAUUUUCUAGCUGAGGCUGCGUGCGUGAGGGCUUGAGAGUCGGUUGUAGCCAUGGGAUUCUGGCGGCGGCAGCGUGCGUGAGGGCAGGGGAGUCUGUAGCCCUAUUAUGUUUUUCUUCUUUCAACAAUGGACUCAGGUAAUGGGAAAACUAAUCUAUGGCAUGGCCCUGUAUAUUUUGUCUUCUUUUCACGAUGGAGUCAAGGUUUCUAAAAAAAUUAUGGCAUUGCUGAAUCGUAGAGGCAGGUGAAAGCUAUUUUGAUGCAGCAUAUGCUUUAGUAGGAGUUAUCUCUACCUCUCUAUCUCUACCUAAUCUCUACCUAAUAAUAAAGCAAAUUGGGUUUCUGCUUGUCCGUCAUUAGCAUUUUUGCUAAAAAGCCCCUCCUUUUUUAGUAUUUAACUCGCAGUACAAUUUAAAGUAUGUUUCUUCCUGAGAUAAUGAUUCAUUUUUUGCAAAAAGGACCCUGGCACCACCACCACAGCCCCGCCUUAUCCACUGCCGGCCUUCACAAACGGGCAGCGGCGCGCUUGCCGCGGUGUCCGCUCCGCCCGAGCCCAGUAAUGGGGCAAGGCGUCGCGGCGGCGUUCCUGCACGCCUUGUCGGCCUUGGAGCUAGCCUUGGCGGGGGCGGGCCGAGGCGUCGCGGCGGAGGACGAUAAGCAGACGGGCAAGCGCCGCCGGCGCGCUUGCCGUGGGCGUCCACUUCGCCCGAGCCCAGGAGUGGGGCGAGGGGUCGCGCCGGCGUUCCUACGCGCCUUGUCGCCCUUGAAGCUGGCCUUGGCGGGCCGAGGCAUCGCGGCGGAGGACGACAAGGCGGCCGGCGUGCUCUGUUGGGGCGACGCGUCGCGGCGCUCCGGCUCCAGCAGAUGACGGCAGAGAGCCAGGUGUGGCUUUGUGUCGCCAACAGCCACGAGGUCAUCGGCGCCGGCCACCGUGCCAGGCUGGACCAGCUGCUGCAGCCCCCCUGCGCCGUCGCCGUCGCCGUCGCCGUGGCACAAGAAGCGCGAGUUCCCCCCGCUGUCGGAGGCUGGGUGUCGUUCUCUAGUGCAGAUUGUCUAAUUGAGUUUCUGAAAGCGUCGUCCACGUCUGCACUUCAUGGGUCCGUACACUGGGAACUCACGCCUGAGAACUUCCUGCUCACCAGAUUGGUUUCAGUUUCUCUGUCUGCAUCGAAGAAGGUCAGCACUUUGCCUCGAACAGUUUCAUGAUUACACUCAUGACAUGAUUUACAGUACAGUAGUCUCAUGCGUUGAGCACUUGAGCUCAUAAUACUGCAAUACGGACAUACAUUUUCCAAGCAUAAAUUAAUGAAGAAGUUAUUGCAACAGGAGGGCCUCUAAUUGUAAUUCAUAUACACAUUUCAGCUCAAUAACCAUAUAACGCAUCUUGCCCGAGCUUGAUACUUCCGACUAUCUCCAUGUCUUUCGGGUCAAAGUUAAGUUAGCUCUAUAUACGAGCAGGCAUUUUAUUCUUUGGGAGCAAGCAAGAAUCAACAUAUUCUCUCGCAAUAUUAUCUCCUCCUUCCCCUUGUCAUCCUAAUCCCCUGCAGAUGGCAUGACUAGCUAGGUUCAUAACAGUUGUUGUAACUAUCCGUCCGGUCAUGAAUCAACAAUUACAAUUGUUUUGACUUCUACAAUCAGUUCAGCCGCCUAUGUUGUACUGCCGCUGCCAUUUAAAGAUUUAAGUUGUCAGGUGGAUAUAGGUUCCAUUAGAUUGAAAGUAAUGAAAUUUUAUUUGCCAACCUGGCUGCACUUUGUGAUGCUUUAUUUAUGUAUAUACUUAAAGUUCAAAUGUGAUGUAUGCAUUACUCCUUAUUUGAUACUAGCAUUUGUCGCAAGCACCUUGCUAUUCUGAGUAAUGGUUGAUAUCUUACAUUUAGCCGAGAAGCUGAAAACUUACGAGUUGGAAAACCUUCUAGAUAUACCUAAAAAGACCUUGAAGAUAUCUUCUACUAGACUGGACGAGCUGAUUGACUGGCGAUGGAGAUGCAGCAGUGACCUGCAAUUCUUUCUGCUGUGGAUGGUUCAUUUUGAAAUCUUUUUUAUAUCUGACAAGACACAAGAAAACAACAUAUCUAUCCUGUUAUAUUUACCACUAUCAUCUACAGUGAGUGCUAAGUUGCCCAUAAAUUUUAGUUGAUUUCUGUUCAGAGUGAUCUGAAAAAUAGAUAGCAUAAAAGAUUAGUGGGUAUUACAUUUAGAUUAGUUACAUUUGGGCAAAUAAAUGAGUAGAAGUCAAUUUUGUUUGCUUGAUGUUUCACUUCUUUGAUCUCUUCAUCAUUCUCAUUUUGUUUCAUUGCUUACCAUUUGUUCGAAAAAAUUUCUAGCAGUGGCAAGCAUGGUUAGGGCGAGCAACAAGGGUUCCUGUAGUGCAUAACCAUUUCAAGUCGCCCAAGUUCUAAAGAGAGAUCAGAAGUGCCAGCUACUGAAGCAAAAAAAAGGACCUGAUACACAUUGUAAUCAUGGACUGCUGAUAUACCUGAUGCAUUUCUUCAUGAUGGUCGAUUUCCUUUCACCGGAUCUUACAUGUUUAAUUAUGUGUGCUCGGAACCAAAAACUGAUUGAGAUCUUCAGUUCUUACUUGCAGAUGUUCUGUUAUUCAGAGUAAUUCAGUUUCCAGUCUCUGUUUAUUAAUCAAAUUAUGGGUUAUUUUCAACCAUAUAGGCUUUUAUUAUAUGUUCAGUUAUGCUUCCAUGGGUUUUGCAUAUGUAUUAACAAAACAACCAGACUGCUAUUCUGUAUAUACUUGGAUCAAAGGGUGUACAAUUAAUUUGCUCUUACGAAAGGAAUGAGUAGGCAGCUAGCAGAAUGGGAGGACAAUCAUGACAAGCGAAGGAACAAAUAAAUAGUAAUCCCACAAUUUUUACAACUGCAUUCCACUUUAAUUUGGUAUGGACAUGCAUUUUUAUCCUUGGAGUACUUUGGAUUUUAAGUGGGAAUCAUUGGUUCUUUUCUUCUUAAUAUUUUACUUCUUAUAAUUACAAAUACCAAUUUUAGAGAAUUGAGCUCGUACUUAAAAUUCAAUUGAGUAUGAAGCCACUGCCCAUUGUGUGAAAGAAACAAUUAUAACAUUGUACUCUAACAAAUCACACAUAUAGAGAAAUGUUAUUUUCGAGUCUCCUUAACCUACUGAUCUUUUUUUAGAUAUAUGAAACUUGCAUUUGUUUUCUUAAUUCUUCUGCAAUGCAGGUGAUAUUCCUAAUGGUUGCUGCUGACGCUAAAAAAAUUACUCCUGAAGCACUAGAAGUGCCCUCUCUAUGACGCAUCACUCACUGGAUCCAGAUGGGCAACAUUCCGCUUCAAGAUUAAAGAGUACCGUUUUUGCAUGCUAUCAUUGCUUAUCCAAGAGUAAUCUAGCAUGUGCCUAAUAUAUAUACAUGAUUGUUGCACCAUCACAAGAUUUCCAUUAUAUACAUGGGCAUAACUUUCUUUACUGUGAAUUAAUCGACACGAUGCUUCUGUUUUAAGGAAUGGCAAUGCUAAAUUCUACAGUGGUACUCUCUACUCUGUCGAAUGUUUACAAACACCAUAAAGCUAGAGAUCUAUUGUGGAAACUUUUCUUUCUUUUGUUUGUUAUAACUUCUUAGUGUAAAAAUAAAUAUGGCUUGUCCAUUACGAAACAAAUAUGUAAGAUUUAUUACUUUUCAAAGUUGAAUUGUUCCUGGCAAAUUACACAUGAGAGUGCAUACAAUUGAGUUGUGCUGACUUGCUGUUUCUAAAAUGAUAAGCUGGAGCUGGAGUUACAUAUGAGAGUAGAGAUAAUUAAGUUGUGCUCCUGACUUGAUUAACAAAAGCUGCAGAAGAAAGGGACAAAAUACCAAAGAGCUGAAAUUUUGAAGAAAGGUGGAAGUAGGGAACUACACAACUUGAUUCAAGGUUACGAAGGGAAAAAGGGCAUUGAUUGAGCAGGAGAAAACAAUAAUGGGCCGAGGCAAAGAUAUAGUGCUCAGUUAGUAAAGAGAUAUGUGGGAAGUUGAGCAGCGGGAUGCAAAUGGAAUUUUUGUGACUCACUGAAGGUGAGCAAAACUUCAGAAAAGAAAUUGCAACAGAAGUAGAGCCUCAUCACCAAGAGAACAUAGGGAUUUUAAGUUUUUUGUAGCCUGCACCGGAGACUGUAGAGUUAAGUUUCUACAUCUCAGUGUACAGUUUAACUAUAUCAGGUUAUUUCCUAUGUAGUAAAUAUUUGCUUUUGCCAUUGCUGAUCAUGUCCUUCUCUCUGUGCUUGGAAGCAUAAACUUACUUAGCGAUCCUUUUCUGUUAGGCUAAACUUACAUCCUUCUGCUAAUAGUUUAGUGAUCUAAUGAUUAUAAUGAUUAUUCAAAAGGGACGUUGCAUGUUCCUAGAUGCAUAGCCUUUCUUAUAUAUGUUUUCAUAACACUGGAUUUUUUUAGGGAUAACACUGGGAUUUAAGUUUUUUUGUUAAAUUCUGAAACUGAAAUCCGAAUAAAAAAUAUCUUGAAAGACCAGCAUAAUGGCACUUCAAAUAAAUGCUAAUCUACACUCACACUGCAGGCUGGUGCCCGUUCUUCUGGUGAUUUGGUCAAAGCUACUACUAAGCAAAGAUAUUUUGCAUGCUAUAAGAACAUGUAGGUUCAUAUCGGGGAGCCAUACGAUCCUGCUAAGAAUUUUGAAUCACUUUGAUAUAUUAACAACAACAUCGUUUAAAAUCCAAACAAAUGGCAUACUCCCUGUUAAUUCAAAUGCAGAUACAAACUUUAAGCUUUUCUAAAUAAGGAAAUAUAUUUACAGUCCAAGUGUAGUAAUCUGGGAGUUUGAAAUUAUUUCCCCUUUUUACAAAGCAAGGGACAUUGAAGUUAAUAUUCACAUACAUGGCAGGGAAGGAUUGAUCUCUCUGCUUAGCAAUGAAUUUGUAGCACCCCAUGAAAACAAAUAUUGUGCAGACCCUAUGGCGUCAUUGUGUUAGUAGGCCGUAUUGGCGUUGCAAUCUCCUCUUGGACUAACUAAUGCAUAGGUUAUAAAGCACAUCAAACCUUUUGUAGACCAACAAAUCCAACAUGCUAUGUAGAUCUUGUGUGUACGGAUUAAUCUGAUUGAUGACUGAUGGAAAGCUUCAGGACUUGUAUUCCCCCCUCACCCCAUAUCUGUAGUUUCCUAUGAUUCACUUUCAAAUCUGGAUAUUCUCUUAUAUAUUAACUACUGCAUUGGAGGAAAUUAAAUCACUUGCAAUCUACAAUUAAAGAAUAAUUAAGUGGGACCUUGAGAAACAAUAGUUUGCCAUGGUCUGCAAUGGGGCAGAGCCAAAGAGUUUGACCAGAAUAAAAGUCUGGACAACAAAAUUCAAUGGAGAGAGAUAUCCAUCUGUUACCCACAAAUGAUUAUUUUUUUGUUAGUGCCUCUUCUUCUUUCUUGCCCAUUAUUUAGUUAUAACGUGACAAAAUAAACAUGUUGAUUAUACCCGACUUGCACUGAACAUGAAAUUUUUGUUUAUGCACAAACAUGCGAGUUGUGUAGUACUGUAGGUUGACACUUCAUCGAAACAUAACACACAAUUACAUGUGCGUGUAUAAGGAGAAACUAUACCUGCAGCACACAUCCAUCUAUCUCGGUUUAUGGGAGAACUGGCAAAUUUAUGGUAAUGAAGCAUGUAGCUGAGGUGUGAGACAAAUCUUCCGUAGAGUGUUAAUGUUGUUAGUAGUAAUUAACUUGUCUCCUAGGAGCUAACUGCAGCAACUUACCUUGAUUGUUAGAUACAGUAUAGCAUUAUUCAUCUUCAUCCAUGAUUGAUUCUUCUGUUUGCUGCAAUUCUUUGACAAUUCUUAGCAUCACACAACCAAAGGUGAGAAGCAAAAAUUUGAAGCACGGAACAAAAAAUUCACAAACCAAUGCAUUUAGUAACCAUCGUGGUUCUUACAGGUCCUUUGCAAUCCAAAUUCCAGUUCUAUGACUUGCAAGGAAGGAUGAAGUCCAUGUCAUGAAAAUUUUAAUAUGUGGUCGCUGCCUCCUCCAGCCAUGGAUUUCAAAGGUACGCAGAUUCACCUACAACAUGCAUAUGGGAGAACUUGCAGAUCUGAAGGAAUCAAGUAUCUAGCUAAGGUGCUUGUAGCCACGAUCAGUGCUCCAUCGAGCAAUUUCUUAGGGCUGCACAGAUGCAACAACCUGGUAGAUAGGAUCAUCCUCUAUCAAAAAUAGCCAAAGGAAGAUGUCAGCAUCAGAGAUCCCAUAUAGGCCAGGAUAAUGUCAAAAUAUCUUGGCAUGGGCACGUGGCUCAUAGCCUGAACUUGAGACCGUUUACUCCAUGCUCGUGGUGGAGGCCUAGUCUCGACGGGGGCAUGGCAGUGGCGUGCGUUAGGAUUGGAUUCCGUCGAAGACCUAGGAUUGAUUUUCUAGCUGAGGCUGCGUGCGUGAGGGCUGGAGAGUCGGUUGUAGCCAUGGGAUUCUGGCGGCAGCAGCGUGCGUGAGGGCAGGGGAGUCUGCAGCCCUAUUAUGUUUUUCUUCUUUCAACGAUGGACUCAGGUAAUGGGAAAACUAAUCUAUGGCAUGGCCCUGUAUAUUUUGUCUUCUUUUCACGAUGGAGUCAAGGUUUCUAAAAAAAUUAUGGCAUUGCUGAAUCGUAGAGGCAGGUGAAAGCUAUUUUGACGCAGCAUAUGCUUUAGUAGGAGUUAUCUCUACCUCUCUAUCUCUACCUAAUCUCUACCUAAUAAUAAAGCAAAUUGGGUUUCUGCUUGUCCGUCAUUAGCAUUUUUGCUAAAAAGCCCCUCCCUUUUUUAGUAUUUAACCCGCAGUACAAUUUAAAGUCUGUUUCUUCUUGAGAUAAUGAUUCAUUUUUUGCAAAAAGGACCCGGGCACCACCACCACAACCCCGCCUUAUCCACUGCCGGUCUUCACAAACGGGCAGCGGCGCGCUUGCCAUGGCGUCCGCUCCGCCCGAGCCCAGUAAUGGGGCGAGGCGUCGCGGCGGCGUUCCUGCACGCCUUGUCGGCCUUGGAGCUAGCCUUGGCGGGGGCGGGCCGAGGCGUCGCGGCGGAGGACGAUAAGCAGACGGGCACGCGCCACCGGCGCGCUUGCCGUGGGCGUCCGCUUUGCCCGAGCCCAGUAGUGGGGCGAGGGGUCGCGCCGGCGUUCCUACACGCCUUGUCGACCUUGAAGCUGGCCUUGGCGGGCCGAGGCGUCGCGGCGGAGGACGACAAGGCGGCCGGCGUGCUCUGUUGGGGCGACGCGUCGCGGCGCUCUGGCUCCAGUAGAUGACGGCAGAGAGCCAGGUGUGGCUUUGUGUCGCCGGCCACCGUGCCAGGCUGGAAUAGCUGCUGCAGCCCCCCUUAUUUGAUACUUGCAUUUGUGGCAAGCACCUUGCUGUUCUGAGUAAUGGUUGAUAUCUUAUAUUUAGCCGAGAAGCUGAAAACUUACGAGUUGGAAAACCUUCUAGAUAUACCUAAAAAGACCUUGAAGAUAUCUUCUACUAGACUGGACGAGCUGAUUGACUGGCGAUGGAGAUGCAGCAGUGACCUGCAAUUCUUUCUGCUGUGGAUGGUUCAUUUUGAUAUCUUUUUUAUAUCUGACAAGACACAAGAAAACAACAUAUCUAUCCUGUUAUAUUUACCACUAUCAUCUACAGUGAGUGCUAAGUUGCCCAUAAAUUUUAGUUGACUUCUGUUCAGAGUGAUCUGAAAAAUAGAUAGCAAAAAAGAUUAGUGGGUAUUACAUUUAGAUUAGCUACAUUUGGGCAAAUAAAUGAGUAGAAGUCAAUUUUGUUUGCUUGAUGUUUCACUUCUUUGAUCUCUUCAUCAUUCUCAUUUUGUUUCAUUGCUUACCAUUUGUUCGAAAUUUUUUCUAGCAGUGGCAAGCAUGGUUAGGGCGAGCAACGAGGGUUCCUAUAGUGCAUAACCAUUUCGAGUCGCCCAAGUUCUAAAGAGAGAUCAGAAGUGCCAGCUACUGAAGCAAAAAAAAGGACCUGAUACACAUUGUAAUCAAUGACUGCUGAUAUACCUGAUGCAUUUCUUCAUGAUGGUCGAUUUCCUUUCACCGGAUCUUACAUGUUUAAUUAUGUGUGCUCGGAACCAAAAACUGAUUGAGAUCUUCAGUUCUUACUUGCAGAUGUUCUUUUAUUCAGAGUAAUUCAGUUUCCAGUCUCUAUGUAUUAAUCAAAUUAUGGGUUAUUUUCAACCAUAUAGACUUUUAUUAUAUGUUCAGUUAUGCUUCCAUGGGUUUUGCAUAUGUAUUAACAAAACAACCAGACUGCUAUUACGUAUAUAGUUGGAUCAAAGGGUGUACAAUUAAUUUGCUCUGACGAAAGGAAUGAGUAGGCAGCUAGCAGAAUGGGAGGACAAUCAUGACAAGCGAACGAACAGAUAAAUAGUAAUCCCACAAUUUUUACAACUGCAUUCCACUUUAAUUUGGUAUGGACAUGCAUUUUUAUCCUUGGAGUACUUUGGAUUUUAAGUGGGAAUCAUUGGUUCUUUUCUUCUUAAUAUUUUACUUCUUAUAAUUACAAAUACCAAUUUUAGAGAAUUGAGCUCGUACUUAAAAUUCAAUUGAAUAUGAAGCCACUGCCCAUUGUGUGAAAGAAACAAUUAUAACAUUGUACUCUAACAAAUCACACAUAUAGAGAAAUGUUAUUUUCGAGUCUCCUUAACCUACUGAUCUUUUUUUAGAUAUAUGAAACUUUCAUUUGUUUUCUUAAUUCUUCUGCAAUGCAGGUGAUAUUCCUUGGUUGCUGCUGACGCUAAAAAAAUUACUCCUGAAGCACUAGAAGUGCCCUCUCUAUGGCGCAUCACUCACUAGAUCCAGAUGGGCAACAUUCCGCUUCAAGAUUAAAGAGUACAGUUUUUGCAUGCUAUCAUUGCUUAUCCAAGAGUAAUCUACCAUGUGCCUAAUUGUUAUGACCGGCCAUGUCUAUGGCCGCCGCAGGCCCAACAGGCAGUCUUAGGCCCGCAAGUUACCUUAGUUUUAUUCAGAUUAGGCAAGUUAUCUCAGGAUUGAUUCUUCUACAAGUUAUCUAGGAUAUAAAUAUAGAUUGUAAGACUCUUUUGGAUGGAAGCAAUAAAGACUAUUAUUAUCUUUUGUUGCCCGGCUCCUAGAGGAGCCGGAAACCCUAGCUGCCGCAACCUAGCUGCCACCGCCCUCAACCCUAGCCGCGACGGCACCCUGCCGCUGGCGCGCCCGCUCCUCGCCGCGCCCACUUCCUCUUUGCCCCUACAACCUACGCAGUAGAGCCGGUAGGAACCCUAGUCCUACCAAUUUGGUAUUCAGAGACCACGUUGUGAUCAUGUCGAUGCCGCCAUCACCGCCGCCGCUGCCCGUCCGCACCACCGCGCCCAUGACGACGGCGCCAAGCAUCACCGCGCCGACCGCAUCCGCCGGGACCUCGCUGGCGUGUCCCGUCUCCUCCUCGGCACCUCCUGCACCGGCGUCUCCGGGCGCAUCUCCACCACCACCGCUGGCCGCCUUGUCUCCGGAGCAACUCGCCGCCAUGCUACAUCACCUCGUCACCGUCGUCCACGGGCUUCAGCUCCACCAGCAAUAUGGGGCCGGCGCCUAUGCUCAACCGCCAUCGGCCCCGAUCGCCGCCCCUGGUCUUCUCCUACAGCAGCAGCCGCAGUACGGGGGCGGGGCGAGCCCCUUCGCGCCACCACCAGGAGCGUACCAGGGCGCGGCCGCGUACGGCGGGCCCCUGUUCGGGCCGAUCCAGGCGAGAUUGGCAUCCGGGCCAGCGCCGGCCGCGGCGCCCCUCUGGCCUUUGCCGCCGGCCACCUCGGCCGCCUCCUAGCUGCAGCAGCCGCCACCCACCGUCUGGCCGGUUCAGCAGAUGCCGUUCCUCGCAUGGCCGGCCCAGCAGCCGCCGCCGACGGCGUCCCAGGGCCUGCGUCCACCGCCGUUCUCCGCGCCCUCAUCAGCCGGGACCACCUCGGGCACGGCCUCGACUAUCGGGUUACUGAUCCAUCAGGUCCAGUUUCCCCCUUCCCCGUCCCCCCCUGCCAGCAUGGGCGGCGGGGUCUUCGCCUUCACCGGUCCACACCACGACCCCGGUUGAGCCGACUCCGUUUCCGCAGUUCGGCAGGCCAUCCGGCCCCGCCGGCCAGUACCCGGACUACUCCGAUCAGGCACCUCCGGCUUCACUCUUCCGAGCCCCCGCGCCUGCUCAGCACGGCGGGCCGCAGCAGACACCGCCGCUGUUCGCCAAACUCGACUUCGCCACCUACGAGGGCACGGAGGACCCCCUCAACUGGCUCAACCAGUGCGAACAGUUCUUUCGAGGGCAGCGGACACUCGCUUCAGAUCGUACCUGGCUCGCGUCCUAUCAUCUUCGAGGCGCAGCACAGACCUGGUACUACGCCCUCGAGUAGGACGAGGGCGGCAUGCCACCGUGGGAGCGCUUCCAGGAGCUCUGUCUUCUCCGUUUUGGGCCUCCUAUCCGCGGGAGCCGACUGGCGGCCCUCUGUCGUUUACCAUUCACAUCUACGGUGCAGGACUACGCCGAUCGCUUCCAGGCCCUGGCAUGCCACGCGCCGGGCGUCUCCGCGACCCAGCGCGCCGAGCUCUUUGUGGGCGGUCUGCCGGACCAUAUCCGCGUGGACGUCGAGCUCCGGGAUCCCCCCGAUCUCCAGACGGCCAUGUACUACGCCCGGGCCUUCAAGCAGCGGGUCCAGGCACUGCAGCCGCCACUCGGACGGAGUGGCCGCCAGCCCAGUCGGCCAGCACCAACUUCCUCAGCCCCGGGUCGGCCUCUCCCAUCCGCGACGGCCACAUCCCCGGCUGCCACACGGCCCUUCCGUCGGCUGUCACCGGCCGAGCAGCAGGAGCGUCGCCGUCAGGGUCUCUGCUUCAACUGCGAUGAGCCCUACACACCGACCCAUGUCUGCCCCCGCCUCUUUUAUUUAGAGACGGUCGACUACACCGAGGAGAACGACUCGCCCGAUCCGUUACAUCCGCCUGCGGCGCCCGAGGACGCGGCCGCGGAUUCCGCAGCGACGGCGUGCGUCGUCUCCCUUCACGCCCUGGCCGGCAUCCGGGGCGAGCAGACCAUGCUGCUGCCGGUGACGAUCCAUGGCGAGCGCCUGGUGGCCCUGCUAGAUACGGGCUCCACACACAACUUUCUGCCCGAAUCGACCAUGCGUCGGCUAGCCCUCCCGACGACGGGCGAGGAGCGCCUGCGGAUCACAGUGGCGAACGGUGAUCGCCUCCGGUGCCAUGGGCUAGCCCGCGACGUUCCCAUCUCCAUCGGCGACGAACACUUUUCCAUCACUUGUGCAGGGAUCGAUCUCGGCUGCUUCGACUUCAUCCUCGGGGUGGACUUUCUCCGGACCCUCGGCCCCAUCCUAUGGGAUUUCGAUGCACUCAUGAUGACAUUCUCGCGGCAGGGACGCCGCAUCCGAUGGGAGGGCAUUGGGGGCGCCGCGGCUGCCGUGCCACAUCUCCAGCUGGCUGCCGCGUCCUCGGAGGCUGAGCACCCCCUGCUGGAUUCUCUUCUGGAGCAGCACAGCGACCUCUUCGACGCUCCACGGGGUCUUCCACCUGCCCGGGUGUACGACCAUCAUAUUCACCUCAUACCAGGCUCCAGUCCGGUGGUGGUACGGCCCUACCACUACCCCCAGCUGCAGAAGGAUGAGUUGGAGCGCCAGUGUGCCCUGAUGCUCGCCGCACGCAUCAUCCGGAUCUCCACGUCACCCUUCACGGCGCCGGUGCUUCUCGUCCGUAAGUCCGACGGCACAUGGCGCUUCUGCAUCGACUACCGCGCCCUCAACGCACUCACGCUCAAGGACAAGUUCCCUAUACCGGUGGUCGACGAGCUCUUGGAUGAGCUCCAUGGGGCACGCUUCUUCACCAAGCUCGAUCUUCGGUCGGGCUAUCAUCAGGUGCGCAUGCAUCCGGACGACAUCGCCAAGACGGCGUUUCGCACCCACCAUGGCCACUUCGAGUUCUUGGUGAUGCCUUUCGGCCUCGCCAACGCCCCGACGACUUUCCAAGCCCUGAUGAACGACGUCCUUCGACCCUACUUACGGCGGUUUGUGCUUGUUUUCUUUGAUGACAUUCUUAUCUACAGCGCCACCUGGGCCGAACAUCUCCAGCACGUCGCCAUCGUCUUCAACGAGCUUCGGGCGCACCACCUCCACCUUAAGCGCUCAAAGUGCUCGUUCGAGACACCUACCGUCGCCUACCUCGGCCAUGUCAUCUCGGCCGACGGAGUGGCUAUGGACGCCGAUAAGGUGGCGGCCGUCUCCGCCUGGCCGACGCCUCACUCACCGCGGGCUCUCCGCGGGUUCCUCGGACUCGCUGGCUACUACCGGAAAUUUAUCCGGGAGUUCGGACUCAUCGCGGCGCCCCUCACGCGGUUGCUUCGCCGCGACGCCUUCGCCUGGGACGCUGAGGCGUCGACGGCAUUCGAGGCCCUCAAGGGGGCCCUCACGACGGGCCCCGUCCUCCAGAUGCCCGACUUCGACCGUCCGUUCGUGGUGGACUGUGACGCCUCGGGCACCGGGUUCGGCGCCGUACUUCAUCAGGGCGAUGGGCCCCUCGCCUUCUUCAGCCGGCCUUUCGCUCCGCGCCAUCUUAAGUUGGCCGCUUACGAGCGGGAGAUCAUUGGCCUCGUCCAGGCCGUGCGUCAUUGGCGGCCAUACUUGUGGGGGCGGACCUUCCACAUUCGCACGGACCACUACAGCCUGAAUUUCUUCCUGGAUCAACGGCUGUCGACCGUACCGCAGCACCAGUGGAUCAGCAAGCUCUUCGGCUUCGACUUCUCCGUCGAGUAUCGGCCGGGCCGUCUUAACACCGUGGCCGAGGCGCUAUCCCGUCGCGAUUCCGACCUCGCGCCAACCGCCGACGCGUCCGUCGGGACGGCCCUGUGCAUCCGCUUCGGGCCAUCGUUCGGUCUCUUCACCGACAUUCGACGCGCCACUGCGACGGCCGAUGACGCCGCACUUCUUCAGCAGCAGCUCACGGUCGGCGACUUGGAGGAGCCCUGGCGCUUCUCUGACGGACUGCUCCUGCAUGUACGCCGGAUCUUUGUUCCGGCGCAUGAUGAUCUCCGUCACCAGGUGUUGCAGCUCGCUCACUCGGCGGGCCAUGAGGGUGUGCAGAAAACCCUCCAUCGUCUUCGCGCCGACUUCUACAUCCUUGGCGAUCGUGCCCUGGUCCGCGACUGGGUUCGGUCUUGUCAGACUUGCCAGCGCAACAAGACAGAGACCCUGAGACCGGCGGGGCUCCUUCAGCCCUUGGAGGUGUCGUCUCAGGUUUGGGCGGAUAUCUCCUUGGACUUCAUCGAGGGCCUUCCCAAGGUAGGGGGCAAGUCAGUCAUCCUCACGGUGGUCGAUCGCUUCUCUAAGUACGCCCACUUCAUCGCGUUGGGCCAUCCGUACACAGCGGCAUCCGUGGCCCGGGCUUUCUUUGACGGCAUAGUCUGUCUACACGGGUUCCCGACGUCGAUCGUCAGUGAUCGGGACCCAAUCUUCACGGGCCAUGUCUGGCGCGACCUCUUCAGGAUGGCGGGUGUCCAGCUCCGCCUGAGUAUGGCGUUCCAUCCUCAGACGAACGGUCAGUCUGAGGUGGUUAACAAGGUCAUUGCCAUGUAUUUGCGUUGUGUGACAGGUGAUCGACCUCGCUCUUGGGUGGACUGGCUAUCUUGGGCGGAGUACUGCUACAACACUUCUUAUCACUCCGCCCUGCGCGCGACGCCAUUUGAGGUGGUCUAUGGUCGACCACCCCCGCCUAUACUUCCGGUCGACCCGAAGACGGCUCGGACAGCAGUAGCGGGUGACCUUAUCCGCACCCGUGAUGAGAUGCUGGCUGAGGUCCUUCAGCGUCUCCUUCAGGCCCAGCAGACGGCCAAGCACUACUACGACGAUCAUCAUCGCGAGGCGGAGUUCGCAGUGGCUGACUGGGUGUGGCUGCGUCUUCUCCACCGCUCUACGCAGUCACUGGACACGCGCGCAAAGCGCAAGCUUGGCCCUCGCUACGCCGGGCCCUUCCCUGUCGUGGAGCGCAUUGGGAAGGUGGCCUAUCGUCUUCAGCUUCCAGCCCGCGCCCGCAUCCACGACGUGUUCCAUGUGGGGCUGCUCAAACCUUUCCGUGGCGAGCCACCGGCGGCACCUCCGACGCUUCCUCCAACCGCCGAUGGUCGCAUUCUUCCAGAGCCAGCAAAGGUGUUGCAGGCUCAGCUCCGUCGUGGCGUCUGGUUCAUCCUAAUUCAGUGGGCGGGCCUUCCGGAGGAAGAGGCGACUUGGGAGCAGCGUGAGGAUUUCCGUCAACACUAUCCAGACUUUCAGCUCGAGGACGAGCUGUUUGCGCAGGCGGGGAGAGAUGUUAUGACCGGCCAGGUCUAUGGCCGCCGCAGGCCCAACAGGCAGGCUUAGGCCCACAAGUUACCUUAGUUUUAUUCAGAUUAGGCAAGUUAUCUCAGGAUUGAUUCUUCUACAAGUUAUCUAGGAUAUAAAUAUAGAUUGUAAGACUCUUUUGGAUGGAAGCAAUAAAGACUAUUAUUAUCUUUUGUUGCCCGGCUCCUAGAGGAGCCGGAAACCCUAGCCGUCGCAACCUAGCCGCCACCGCCCUCAACCCUAGCCGCGACGGCGCCCUGCCGCCGGCGCGCCCGCUCCUCGCCGCGCCCACUUCCUCUUUGCCCCUACAACCUACGCAGUAGAGCCGGUAGGAACCCUAGUCCUACCACUAAUAUAUAUACAUGAUUGUUGCACCAUCACAAGAUUUCCAUUAUAUACAUGGGCAUAACUUUCUUUACUGUGAAUUAAUCGACACGAUGCUUCUGUUUUAAGGAAUGGCAAUGCUAAAUUCUACAGUGGUACACUCUACUCUGUCGAAUGUUUACAAACACCACAAAGCUAGAGAUCUAUUGUGGAAACCUUUCUUUCUUUUGUUUGUUAUAACUUCUUAGUGUAAAAAUAAAUAUGGCUUGUCCAUUACGAAACAAAUAUGUAAGAUUUAUUACUUUUCAAAGCUGAAUUGUUCCUGACAAUUACACAUGAGAGUGCAAAGGUGAGAAGCAAAAAUUUGAAGCACGGAACAAAAAAUUCACAAACCAAUGCAUUUAGUAACCAUCGUGGUUCUUACAGGUCCUUUGCAAUCCAAAUUCCAGUUCUAUGACUUGCAAGGAAGGAUGAAGUCCAUGUCAUGAAAAUUUUAUUAUGUGGUCGCUGCCUCCUCCAGCCAUGGAUUUCAAAGGUACGCAGAUUCACCUACAACAUGCAUAUGGGAGAACUUGCAGAUCUGAAGGAAUCAAGCAUCUAGCUAAGGUGCCUGUAGCCACGAUCAGUGCUCCAUCGAGCAAUUUCUUAGGGCUGCACAGAUGCAACAACCUGGUAGAUAGGAUCAUCCUCUAUCAAAAAUAGCCAAAGGAAGAUGUCAGCAUCAGAGAUCCCAUAUAGGCCAGGAUAAUGUCAAAAUAUCUUGGCAUGGGCACGUGGCUCAUAGCCUGAACUUGAGACCGUUUACUCCAUGCUCGUGGUGGAGGCCUAGUCUCGACGGGGGCAUGGCAGUGGCGUGCGUUAGGAUUGGAUUCCGUCGAAGACCUAUGAUUGAUUUUCUAGCUGAGGCUGCGUGCGUGAGGGCUGGAGAGUCGGUUGUAGCCACGGGAUUCUGGCGGCGGCAGCGUGCGUGAGGGCAGGGGAGUCUGUAGCCCUAUUAUGUUUUUCUUCUUUGAACGAUGGACUCAGGUAAUGGGAAAACUAAUCUAUGGCAUGACCCUGUAUAUCUUAUCUUCUUUUCAUCAUGGAGUCAAGGUUUCUAAAAAAAUUAUGGCAUUGCUGAAUCGUAGAGUCAGGUGAAAGCUAUUUUGACGCAUCAUAUGCUUUAGUAGGAGUUAUCUCUACCUCUCUAUCUCUACCUAAUCUCUACCUAAUAAUAAUAAAGCAAAUUGGGUUUCUGCUUGUCCGUCAUUAGCAUUUUUUCUAAAAAGCCCCUCCCUUUUUUAGUAUUUAACACGCAGUAUAAUUUAAAGUCUGUUUCUUCCUGAGAUAAUGAUUCGUUUUUUGCAAAAAGGACCCCGGCACCACCACCACAGCCCCGCCUUAUCCACUGCCGGCCUUCACAAACGGGCAGCGGCGCGCUUGCCGCGGCGUCCGCUCCGCCCGAGCCCAGUAAUGGGGCGAGGCGUCGCGGCGGCGUUCCUGCACGCCUUGUCGGCCUUGGAGCUAGCCUUGGCGGGGGCGGGCCGAGGCGUCGCGGCGGAGGACGUUAAGCAGACGGGCACGCGCCGCCGGCGCGCUUGCCGUGGGCGUCCGCUUCGCCCGAGCCCAGGAGUGGGGCGAGAGGUCGCGCCGGCGUUCCUACACGCCUUGUCGCCCUUGAAGCUGGCCUUGGCGGGCCGAGGCGUCGCGGCGGAGGACGACAAGGCGGCCGGCGUGCUCUGUUGGGGCGACGCGUCGCGGCGCUCCGGCUCCAGCAGAUGACGGCAGAGAGCCAGGUGUGGCUUUGUGUCGCCAACAGCCACGAGGUCAUCGGCGCCGGCCACCGUGCCAGGCUGGACCAGCUGCUGCAGCCCCCCUGCGCCGUUGCCGUCGCCGUGGCACAAGAAGCGCGAGUUCCCCCUCGCUAUCGGAGGCUGGGUGUCGUUCUCUAGUGCAGAUUGUCUAAUUGAGUUUUUGAAAGCGUCGUCCACGUCUGCACUUCAUGGGUCCAUACACUGGGAACUCACGCCUGAGAACUUCCUGCUCACCAGAUUGGUUUCAGUUUCUCUGUCUCCAUCGAAGAAGGUCAGCACUUUGCCUCGAACAGUUUCAUGAUUACACUCAUGACAAGAUUUACAGUACAGUAGUCUCAUGCGUUGAGCUCAUAAUACUGCAGUACGGACAUACAUUUUCCAAGCAUAAAUUAAUGCAGAAGUUAUUGCAACAGGAGGGCCUCUAAUUGUAAUUCAUAUACACAUUUCAGCUCAAUAACCAUAUAACGCAUCUUGCCCGAGUUUGAUACUUCCGACUAUUUCCAUGUCUUUCGGGUCAAAGUUAAGUUAGCUCUAUAUACGAGCAGGCAUUUUAUUCUUUGGGAGCAAGCAAGAAUCAAUAUAUUCUCUCGCAAUAUUAUCUCCUCCUUCCCCUUGUCUUCCUAAUCCCCUGCAGAUGGCAUGACUAGGUAGGUUCAUAACAGUUGUUGUAACUAUCCGUCCGGUCAUGAAUCAACAAUUACAAUUGUUUUGACUUCUACGAUCAGUUCAGCUGCCUAUGUUGUACUGCCGCUGCCAUUUAAAGAUUUAAGUUGUCAGGUGGAUAUAGGUUCCAUUAGAUUGAAAGUAAUGAAAUUUUAUUUGCCAACCUGGCUGCACUUUGUGAUGCUUUAUCUAUGUAUAUACUUGAAGUUCAAAUGUGAUGUAUGCUUUACUCCUUAUUUGAUACUUGCAUUUGUCGCAAGCACCUUGCUGUUCUGAGUAAUGGUUGAUAUCUUACAUUUAGCCGAGAAGCUGAAAACUUACGAGUUGGAAAACCUUCUAGAUAUACCUAAAAAGACCUUGAAGAUAUCUUCUACUAGAAUGGACGAGCUGAUUGACUGGCGAUGGAGAUGCAGCAGUGACCUGCAAUUCUUUCUGUUGUGGAUGGUUCAUUUUGAAAUCUUUUUUAUAUCUGACAAGACACAAGAAAACAACAAUCUAUCCUGUUAUAUUUACCACUAUCAUCUACAGUGAGUGCUAAGUUGCCCAUAAAUUUUAGUUGACUUCUGUUCAGAGUGAUCUGAAAAAUAGAUAGCAAAAAAGAUUAGUGGGUAUUACAUUUGGAUUAGUUACAUUUGGGCAAAUAAAUGAGUAGAAGUCAAUUUUGUUUGCUUCAUGUUUCACUUCUUUGAUCUCUUCAUCAUUCUCAUUUUGUUUCAUUGCUUACCAUUUGUUCGCAUUUUUUUCUAGCAGUGGCAAGCAUGGUUAGGGCGAGCAACGAGGGUUCCUGUAGUGCAUAACCAUUUCAAGUCGCCCAUGUUCUAAAGAGAGAUCAGAAGUGCCAGCUACUGAAGCAAAAAAAAAGGACCUGAUACACAUUGUAAUCAUGGACUGCUGAUAUACCUGAUGCAUUUCUUCAUGAUGGUCGAUUUCUGUUCACCGGAUCUUACAUGUUUAAUUAUGUGUGCUCGGAACCAAAAACUGAUUGAGAUCUUCAGUUCUUACUUGCAGAUGUUCUGUUAUUCAGAGUAAUUCAGUUUCCAGUCUCUGUGUAUUAAUCAAAUUAUGGGUUAUUUUCAACCAUAUAGGCUUUUAUUAUAUGUUCAGUUAUGCUUCCAUGGGUUUUGCAUAUGUAUUAACAAAACAACCAGACUGCUAUUCUGUAUAUACUUGGAUCAAAGGGUGUACAAUUAAUUUGCUCUUACGAAAGGAAUGAGUAGGCAGAUAGCAGAAUGGGAGGACAAUCAUGACAAGCGAAGGAACACAUAAAUAGUAAUCCCACAAUUUUUACAACUGCAUUCCACUUUAAUUUGUCAUGGACAUGCAUUUUUAUCCUUGGGGUACUUUGGAUUUUAAGUGGGAAUCAUUGGUUCUUUUCUUCUUAAUAUUUUACUUCUUAUAAUUACAAAUACCAAUUUUAGAGAAUUGAGCUCGUACUUAAAAUUCAAUUGAGUAUGAAGCCACUGCCCGUUGUGUGGAAGGAACAAUUAUAACAUUGUACUCUAACAAAUCACACAUAUAGAGAAAUGUUAUUUUCGAGUCUCCUUAACCUAAUGAUCUUUUUUUAGAUAUAUGAAACUUGCAUUUGUUUUCUUAAUUCUUCUGGAAUGCAGGUGAUAUUCCUAAUGGUUGCUGCUGACGCUAAAAAAUUUACUCCUGAAGCACUAGAAGUGCCCUCUCUAUGGCGCAUCACUCACUGGAUCCAGAUGGGCAACAUUCCGCUUAAAGAUUAAAGAGCACCAUUUUUGCAUGCUAUCAUUGCUUAUCCAAGAGUAAUCUACCAUGUGCCUAAUAUAUAUACAUGAUUGUUGCACCAUCACAAGAUUUCCAUUAUAUACAUGGCCAUAACUUUCUUUACUGUGAAUUAAUCGACACGAUGCUUCUGUUUUAAGGAAUGGCAAUGCUAAAUUCUACAGUGGUACUCUCUACUCUGUCGAAUGUUUACAAACACCACAAAGCUAGAGAUCUAUUGUGGAAAC